rnacentral:rRNA from 1 species
UACAGAGGUCUCAAGCGUUGUUCGGAUUCAUUGGGCGUAAAGGGUGCGUAGGUGGCGCGCUAAGUCAGGUGUGAAAUUUCGGAGCUUAACUCCGAAACUGCAUUCGAUACUGCCGUGCUUGAGGACUGGAGAGGAGACUGGAAUUUACGGUGUAGCGGCGAAAUGCGUAGAUAUCGUAAGGAAGACCAGUGGCGAAGGCGGGUCUCUGGACAGUUCCUGACGCUGAGGCACGAAGGUCAGGGGAGCAAACGGG